rnacentral:piRNA from 1 species
UCCUUUCUUCGAUUUGAUCUG